rnacentral:pre_miRNA from 1 species
UUGGUUUGUCUGAAGUCAAACAUGCUAAAUUUUGACCAUGUUUAUAGAAAAACAUAAUAACAAUCAUGGUACCAAACAUAUGCACUAUCAAAAUAUAUUUCAUGGUGGAUUGAAUGAAACAAAUUUGGUAUUAUAAAUAUUAUUAUAUUUUUUCUAUAAACAUGGUCAAAGUUUAGUAAGUUUGACUUCAGACAAACCAAA